ensembl:lncRNA
GACUCUGAGCCGACUCUGACUCUGACUCCGCUCUGACUCUGACUCCACCCUGACUCGACUCUGACUACACUCUGAUUCUGACUCCACUCUGACUCCACUCUGACUCUGACUCCACUCUGUCUCCAACUCCACUCCAACUCUGACUCUGAUUUCACUCUGACUCUGACUCCACUCUGACUCUGUCUUCACUCUGACUCUGUCUCCACUCUGACUCUGACUCCACUCUUGAUUCCAACUCCACUCUGACUCUGACUCUGAUUCCACUCUGACUCGAACUCCACUCCGACUCCGUCUCCGACUCUGAUUCCACUCUGACUCCAACUCCACUAAUACUCUGACUCCACUCUGACUCUGACUCCACUCUGUCUCCACUCUGACUCUGACUCCGUCUCCACUCCAACUCUGACUCCACGCUAACUCUGAGUCCGUCACUGACUCCACUCUGACUCCAACUCCAUUCCGACUCUGACUCUACUCUGACUCCAACUCCACUCCGACUCUGACUCUGAUUCCACUCUGACUCCGACUCCGCCCUGACUCUGACUCCGCUCCGACUCCCACUCGACUCUGUCUCCACUCUGACUCCACUCUGACUCCACUCUGACUCUGACUCCACUCUGACUCCAACUCCACUCCGACUCUGACUCUGAUUCCACUCUGACUCCAACUCCACUCUGACUCUGACUCCACUCUGACUCUGUCUCUGUCUUCUCUCUGACUCUGACUCCACUCUGACUCUGACUCCGUCUCCACUCCGACUCUGACUCCACUCUGACUCUAAUUCCACUCUGACUCCAACUCCACUCCGUCUCUUACUCCACACUGACUCCACUCUGUCUCCAACUCCAUUCCGACUCAGACUCCACUCUGACUCCGACUCCACUCCGACUCUGACUCCGCGCCGACUCUGACUCUGACUCCGCUCCAACACUGACUCGACUCUGUCUCCACUCUGACUCGACUCUGUCUCCACUCUGACUCCACUCUGACUCGACUCUGACUACACUCUGAUUCUGACUCCACUCUGACUCCAACUCCACUCCGACUCUGACUCUGAUUCCACUCUGACUCCAACUCCACUCUGACUCCGUCUCCGACUCUGAUUCCACUCUGACUCCAACUCCACUAAGACUCUGACUCCACUCUGACUCUGACUCCACUCUGUCUCCACUCUGACUCUGACUCCACUCUGACUCUGAUUCCACUCUGACUCCAACUCCACUCUGACUCUGAUUCCACUCUGACUCCAACUCCACUUUUCCUCUGACUCCACUCCGACUCUGACUCCACUCUGUCUCCACUCUGACUCUGACUCCACUCUGACUCUGUCUCCACUCUGACUCUGACUCUGAUUCCACUCUGACUCCAACUCCAGUCCGACUCCACUCUGACUCUUGACUCUGAUUCCACUCUGACUCCAACUCCACUCCGACUCUGACUCUGAUUCCACUCUGACUCCAACUCCACUCCGACUCCGUCUCCACUCCAACUCUGACUCCACACUAACUCUUGAGUCCGUCACUGACUCCACUCUGACUCCAACUCCAUUCCGACUCUGACUCCACUCUGACUCCGACUCCACUCCGACUCUGAGCCGACUCUGACUCUGACUCCGCUCCGACUCUGACUUGACUCUGUCUCCACUCUAACUCUGACUCCACUCUGACUCGACUCUGACUCCAACUCCAUUCCGACUCUGACUCCAACUCCACUCCGACUCUGACUCUGAUUCCACUCUGUCUCCGACUCCGCCCCGACUCUGACUCCGCUCCGACUCCACUCGACUCUGUCUCCACUCUGACUCCACUCUGAUUCUGACGCCACUCUGACUCCACUUUGAUUCUGACUCCACUCAAACUCUGACUCCACUCUGACUCCAACUCCAUUCUGACUCUGACUCUGAUUCCACUCUGACUCCAACUCCACUCCGACUCUGUCUCUGUCUUCACUCUGACUCUGACUCCACUCUGUCUCCACUCCGACUCUGACUCCACUCUGACUCCGUCUCCACUCCGACUCUGACUCCACUUCCACUCUGACUCCAACUCCACUCCGUCUCUUACUCCACACUGACUCCACUCUGACUCCAACUCCAUUCCGACUCUGACUCCACUCUGACUCCGACUCCACUCCGACUCUGAGCCGACUCUGUCUCCACUCUGACUCUGACUCCACCCUGACUCCACUCUGACUACACUCUGACUCUGUCUCCACUCUGUCUCCAACUCCACUCCAACUCUGACUCUGAUUUCACUCUGACUCUGACUCCACUCUGACACCGUCUUCACUCUGACUCUGUCUCCACUCUGACUCUGAUUCCACUCUGACUCCAACUCCACUCCGACUCCGUCUCCGACUCUGAUUCCACUCUGACUCCAACUCCACUAAGACUCUGACUCCACUCUGUCUCCACUCUGACUCUGACUCCACUCUGUCUCCACUCUGACUCCACUCUGACUCUGAUUCCACUCUGACUCCAACUCCACUCUGACUCUGAUUACACUCUGACUCCAACUCCACUUUUCCUCUGACUCCACUCUGUCUCCACUCUGACUCCAACUCCACUCUUGAUCUGUCUCCACUCUGACUCUGAUUCCACUCUGACUCCAACUCCACUCCGACUCCGUCUCCGACUCUGAUUCCACUCUGACUCCAACUCCACUAAGACUCUGACUCCACUCUGACUCUGACUCCACUCUGUCUCCACUCUGACUCUGACUCCACUCUGUCUCCACUCUGACUCCACUCUGACUCUGAUUCCACUCUGACUCCAACUCCACUCUGACUCUGAUUCCACUCUGACUCCAACUCCACUUUUCCUCUGACUCCACUCUGUCUCCACUCUGACUCCAACUCCACUCUUGAUCUGUCUCCACUCUGACUCUGAUUCCACUCUGACUCCAACUCCACUCCGACUCUGUCUCCACUCUGACUCUGACUCCACUCUGACCCUGACUCCACUCUGACUCCAACUCCACUCUGACUCUGAUUCCACUCUUGACUCCAACUCCAUUCUGACUCUGACUCUGAUUCCACUCUGACUCCAACUCCACUUCGACUCUGACUCCACUCUGACUCCGACUCCACUCCGACUCUGAGCCGACUCUGACUCCGCUCCGACUCUGACUUGACUCUGUCUCCACUCUGACUCUGACUCCACUCUGACUUGACUCUGACUCCAACUCCAUUCCGACUCUGACUCCAACUCCACUCUGACUCUGAUUCCACUCUGACUCCGACUCCGCCCCGACUCUGACUCCGCUCCGACUCCCACUCGACUCUGUCUCCACUCUGACUCCACUCUGAUUCCACUCCGACUCUGUCUCCACUCUGACUCUGCUCUGACU